GUAGGUGAACCUGCGGAUGGAUC
rnacentral:rRNA from 1 species